rnacentral:rRNA from 1 species
CCUACGGGUGGCAGCAGUGAGGAAUAUUGGUCAAUGGACGAGAGUCUGAACCAGCCAAGUAGCGUGAAGGAUGACUGCCCUAUGGGUUGUAAACUUCUUUUAUAUGGGAAUAAAAUGUUCCACGUGUGGGAUUUUGUAUGUACCAUUUGAAUAAGGAUCGGCUAACUCCGUGCCAGCAGCCGCGGUAAUACGGAGGAUCCGAGCGUUAUCCGGAUUUAUUGGGUUUAAAGGGAGCGUAGGUGGAUUGUUAAGUCAGUUGUGAAAGUUUGCGGCUCAACCGUAAAAUUGCAGUUGAAACUGGCAGUCUUGAGUACAGUAGAGGUGGGCGGAAUUCGUGGUGUAGCGGUGAAAUGCUUAGAUAUCACGAAGAACUCCGAUUGCGAAGGCAGUUCACUGGACUGCAACUGACACUGAGGCUCGAAAGUGUGGGUAUCAAACAGGAUUAGAUACCCUUGUAGUC